rnacentral:rRNA from 1 species
GACGAACGCUGGCGGCGUGCUUAACACAUGCAAGUCGAACGGAAAGGCCCUGCUGUUGUGGGGUGCUCGAGUAGCGAACGGGUAAGUAACACGUGAGUAACCUGCCCUUGACUUUGGGAUAACUUCAGGUAACUGGGGCUAAUACCGGAUAGGAGCUCCUGCUGCAUGGUGGUGGUUGGCAAGUUUGGGGGGUUGGGGAUGGACUGGCGGCUUAUCAGCUUGUUGGUGGGGUAGUGGCUUACCAGGGCAUUGGCGGGUAGCCGGCCUGAGUGGUUGACCGGCAACAUGGGGAUGGGGAUAGGGCCCAGACUCCUACGGGAGGCAGCAGUGGGGAAUAUGGCACAAGGGGCGGAAGCCGGAGCCAGAACCGCGGGGGGCGGAAUGACGGCCUUCGGGUGGUAAACCGCUUUCGCAGGGGACGAAGCGUGAGUGACGGUAAUGGGUAAAGAAGCACCGGCUAACUACGUG